AUUGAACGCUGGCGGCAUGCCUUACACAUGCAAGUCGAACGGCAGCACGGGAGCAAUCCUGGUGGCGAGUGGCGAACGGGUGAGUAAUAUAUCGGAACGUGCCCAGUCGUGGGGGAUAACGCAGCGAAAGCUGUGCUAAUACCGCAUACGAUCUACGGAUGAAAGCGGGGGAUCGCAAGACCUCGCGCGAUUGGAGCGGCCGAUAUCAGAUUAGCUAGUUGGUGAGGUAAAGGCUCACCAAGGCGACGAUCUGUAGCUGGUCUGAGAGGACGACCAGCCACACUGGAACUGAGACACGGUCCGGACUCCUACGGGAGGCAGCAGUGGGGAAUUUUGGACAAUGGGCGCAAGCCUGAUCCAGCAAUGCCGCGUGCAGGAUGAAGGCCUUCGGGUUGUAAACUGCUUUUGUACGGAACGAAACGGCGAGCUUUAAUACAGUUUGCUAAUGACGGUACCGUAAGAAUAAGCACCGGCUAACUACGUGCCAGCCGCCGCGGUAAAAC
rnacentral:rRNA from 1 species